rnacentral:rRNA from 1 species
UAACCUGCCCAAGAGAUCGGGAUAACACCUGGAAACAGAUGCUAAUACCGGAUAACAACAGAUGAUGCCUAUCAACUGUUUAAAAGNUGGUUCUGCUAUCACUCUUGGAUGGACCUGCGGUGCAUUAGCUAGUUGGUAGGGUAACGGCCUACCAAGGCGAUGAUGCAUAGCCGAGUUGAGAGACUGAUCGGCCACAUUGGGACUGAGACACGGCCCAAACUCCUACGGGAGGCAGCAGCC